rnacentral:rRNA from 1 species
UCUACGGGUGGCUGCAGUGGGGAAUAUUGGGCAAUGGGCGCAAGCCUGACCCAGCAACGCCGCGUGAAGGAAGAAGGCUUUCGGGUUGUAAACUUCUUUUCUCAGGGACGAAGCAAGUGACGGUACCUGAGGAAUAAGCCACGGCUAACUACGUGCCAGCAGCCGCGGUAAUACGUAGGUGGCAAGCGUUAUCCGGAUUUACUGGGUGUAAAGGGCGUGUAGGCGGGACUGCAAGUCAGAUGUGAAAACCACGGGCGCAACCUGUGGCCUGCUUUUGGAACUGCGUGUCUUGAGUGAUGGAGAGGCAGGCGGAAUUCCCAGUGUAGCGGUGAAAUGCGUAGAUAUUGGGAGGAACACCAGUGGCGAAGGCGGCCUGCUGGACAUUAACUGACGCUGAGGCGCGAAAGCGUGGGGAGCAAACAGGAAUAGAUACCCGGGUAGUC